rnacentral:rRNA from 1 species
GACGAACGCUGGCGGCGUGCUUAACACAUGCAAGUCGAACGGAAAGGCCCUGCUUUUGUGGGGUGCUCGAGUGGCGAACGGGUGAGUAACACGUGAGUAACCUGCCCUUGACUUUGGGAUAACUUCAGGCAACUGCGGAUAAUACCGGCUAGGAGCUCCUGCUGCAUGGUGGGGGUUGGAAAGUUUCGGCGGUUGGGGAUGGACUCGCGGCUUACCAGCUUGUUGGUGGGGUAGUGGCUUACCCAGGCAUUGACGGAUAGCCCGCCUGAGAGGUGAACCAGCGACAUUGGGACUGAGGUACGGACCAGACUCCUACGGGGGGCAGCGGGGGAAAAUAUUGCACAAUGGGCGGAAGCCUGAUGCAGCAACGCCGCGUGCGGAAUGACGGCCUUCGGGUGGUAAACCGCAGUCACCUGUGACGAAGCGUGAGUGACGGUAAUGGGUGAAGAAGCACCGGCUAACUACGUG